AAAACACAACUAUGACUGACUGAGCGUACCACAAUUAAACAGACUCUUGGAAACAUCGCUUAGGUACACUGGCAAUAGGAGCCACCUAACAGGAUUCAGUACGAGAUGUCAAAAUAAAAGAAAUACAAGAUUAGAAACAUCACUCAGAAGGGUGCAGACUACUGGUGCCUACAAUUCCAAUUUGCUGGGUGGAAACAAUGAUAAGAGUUAACUGAUUCAUAAUUGGGUCAUACUGAAAUUACACAUUAAGUUAUGAGUUGUUAUUGGACAUAAUUUUACUACAGGAACUGAGUUGGGAGGAACAAACAUGGAAACUCUGAUACAGCACUUGUCUUAAAAGUCUUAAAAUCAUGCAAUUGUAGUUGUUUUGCUUGUCGGGGGUACAACAAGGCAUUAGUGACACAUUACCGGUAUUUCAUAGUGACACUUUAUUUGUCCAAAUUAAAUCAAAUACACUAGUGACGUAAUCGUACAUCUGUGACGCAAAUCGACGACAUUGUCGUAAUUCUCCCUCGUCUGAGGAGGCGCUGCUCACGUGCGAUUCACUUUGUAAAGGGAACUCCGAGGCAGACUAAGUAAAAAGACUGUAAACUACAACACAAGUACUUUCAGGGUUCUUCAACUGGCAUUAAAGAGGAACUACGAACGUGCAAUGUAAAAUGGUCCCUUCCUUUUCCCGGCGUAGAUUGCCUUCCACCGACCUUCCCUCUUAUAGACACAGCUUUGAGGAGACGAGAGGGGGCAGGCCAACCAGGCACCAGCCCGGCGCUUCCGGGCUUCGAACGCCAAACCGCAGCUCUCAGAGACAAAAGGUAGGGAUGGGGGAUGGUCCUCUUGAAAUGUGAAACAACAACAAAAAUCUUUUGUACACUAAAACUGAACAAAAGAACUAUUAUUAAAGUCAUGCAUUUGCUACCAGCUGAGUGGCACAUCUCGCGCACACACACAAAAAAAAAACAAAACAAUGGAAGACAAAGCAACAAAAAUAUAUUUUCCCAACCCAUUACAUAUUACAUAACCUUUGAAAUCUUAAUUACAACUAUAAUUAAUCAUUCAUGAGCUUGCUAUCACCUGCAGGUGAGCGUCUUCUCAUAAAGUGCUGUGAAGAAGCUCAAUGUGUGUCCUCACUGGUUCAAAAAUAAAAAAUAAACUCAUUGCACUAGCCAAAAGCAUCCAGGUCUUAUGUCUUAGCUCUUUCAUUAUUUUUUUUGUAAAAAGGUGAUGAGAAAUAUGGAAAUAUGCUGAUGUAAAAGCUUCCUGUCAUGUAUUGCUGUCCCCUUACCGUAAGUGGCCG